UUUGGAUGCGAACAAGCACGCUAUAGCUGGGGCACCAGCCACUGCGGCUGUUGCCGAGGCGGCACUCGCGGCUGCUCAAGCAGCAGCAGAGGUUGUGAGAUUGACUAGUGUUAGCGGCAGUGGUGGAAGAAGUACUAGCUCAGGUCACGUCAUUGGAAGUCAUCGCCGGCGGGAAGAGGAACUUGCUGCUAUCAAGAUACAGUCAGAGUUUCGUGGUUAUCUGGCAAGAAGAGCACUAAGAGCAUUGAAAGCGUUAGUAAAGCUUCAAGCAUUAGUUAGAGGCCACAUUGUGAGAAAGCAAACAGCAGAUAUGCUUAGGCGAAUGCAAACGUUGGUGACAGUGCAGGCUCGAGCUCGUGCUAGCCGCACCCAUGUAUCAGAAUCAUGGCAUUCUCCGUGCAAGAACGGUAUGCUGUGACUGAGAAGACUUGUCCUCAUAAGGAUCGUGUACUUCAUGAUUAUGGUGCUAAAUUUGAUGGGCCCUCCAUCCUUAAGAGAUGUGGUUCAAAUUCAAACCUGAGAGAGAUCAUUCACCUAGAUGAAGCAAACCUCGGUUCAAAUUGGUUAGAUUGUUGGAUGGAGGAAAGCUUUCAGAACAACCAUGGAAACAUUCCAAUGAGAAAUCGACAUGCUGAUGAUGAAAAGAGCGACAAAAUCCUUGAAGUGGAUACUUGGAAGCCCCACAUGAAAUCCCAACAAAGUAUCAGAACCUUGCAGGCCUCACGGCAUGUUUUGGCUUCAGAUCAUAACAAUAAGAGCUUUGCAACAUUCGACUUGCCAUCUACCUUGCCAACAAAAGCAACAUAUCAAAUGCCAACUGUC
rnacentral:misc_RNA from 1 species